AAAGAGAAAGAGAGAGAAAGAGAGAGAGAAAGAGAGAGAGAGAGAGUAGGAACUGCGUGCUUACAUAGACGGCAAAACGCCUGGGGAAUCGUAGGGAAGAGGAAGCCAGCCGGCUCUCGGUCUGCCUGCUCCAACUUCCUGCUCAGAAAGAGAAAAAGAAGCCAGGAUUCUAUUUCAGUCCAGCUGAGCCGUGUAGCUUGACGGCAGUCAGUCAGCAUGGAAAAACAAGGGGUCAUACAAAUUUCAUCAUAAACGUUUUCAAGGAGUGGAAGGAAAGGCAAACAAGAGAUCGCAGGUAUGGACAGUGCCAUCACGUUGUGGCAGUUCCUGUUGCAGCUGUUGUUGGACCAGAGCCACAAGCACCUGAUCUGCUGGACGUCGAACGACGGGGAGUUUAAACUGCUCAAGUCCGAGGAGGUGGCCAAGCUGUGGGGGCUCCGCAAGAACAAGACUAAUAUGAACUACGACAAGCUGAGCAGAGCCCUGAGAUACUACUAUGACAAGAACAUUAUCAAGAAGGUGAUCGGACAGAAGUUUGUCUACAAGUUUGUCUCGUUCCCGGAAAUCUUAAAGAUGGACCCAGCAGCAGUAGAGAUGGGCUUGGCUUCCGGUCGGGUGACGCUCCACGAAGACCAGAACAUCCAGGACCUGGAUGUAGACGAGGAGGAGGAAGAAGAGGAGGUACAGCAGCAGCAGAGGAGGGCGGCAUUGGGGGCGGCGUUGGGGGCGGCUGCGGCGGCCCAGCAGGCUGCGUGUCAUAACAAGUACUUCGGCUCUGGCCUCUACUCCUCCUUCAGCAUCAACACCCUCCAUUCUCCUCCAGAGGAGCUGCUCCGGGCCCUGAGGGAGAGACAGCAGGACGAGGCCCGCUCCGGAGUCAUCCGAUUUGGGACGGGUACCACCGAGAGUACUCCACCCUCACCGUCCCUCAUCAAGCCUGAGCCUUUAUCACAAUCCUGCAGCACCCAUAGGACAUCCAAACCCUCCCCUCUCCACCAUUACACCCACCACCAACACCCGCCCCCCUCCUCCCCCCACAGACAUAACCCCCAGCCAGGGCCAGGCCGAGGAGGCUGGAGCCCAGAGGCUGAAGAGGAGGAGGAGGGGGAGGACUCAGACCAGGGAGCCCAGCCUCUGAAUCUCUCUUCUGGGCAUAGAGAGAGAGAGCAGGCCCUGCAGCCUCCGGAGAAGAGGACCAGUGGUGGUAGUAGAGUUAGUGGUAGUAGUCAUGGAGACAGUUGUCAUGGACUCCCACCCAAAACCAAUAAGCCCAAAGCCCUAGAGAUCUCCGCCCCCUCCCUGCUCUUGACAGGAAGUGAUAUCGGCUCGAUAGCCCUCAAUAGCCCCGCCCUACCGUCCGGAUCCCUCACCCACGCCUUCUUCACUGCACAGGCCUGCCUGGUUACGGGGAGAUGGGGGCCGGAGUCUAUCCAGAGUUCCAGAACAUUACGUCAGUGUCCCCAAAGCCCAGCUAGAGCAGCAAGGCACUGCCGUGCCACAGGCCCAGACCGCUCAGCCACAUCGGACCCAGUCUUCUGGACGAUAUGGCGGUGCAAAGGAAGAUCAGAGGAAAAGCAAGAGAUUUACACAUAUCCUGUCCUAGUCACGGAGAGAGACAGAGAUGACUCCAUCUGGUCUGCUGCUGGGCCACAGCUCUCUGUUAUCAGGUGUCCACUUCUGGAGCAGCCUAAGUCCCGCAGCCCCUCUGAGCCCGGCCAGGCUUCAAGGACACGGAUCACUGUUUCAGGUAAAAACUGGAGGGAGGGAGUGAAAGACAGAAGAAGUGCUGAAUGGACUGUGGAGAGAGACAGACAGAGAGAGACAGAGAGAGGCAGGAGUGAAGGAGGAAGAGACAGAUUUGCUUUAAGAACAGAGAAGUGCUGAAUGGACAGUGUUUGUUGGUUUCCCCUGAGGAUGGAUAGGUGAGGGAGUUCUUAGAUGGUUGAAAGUCCACUCAGCUGUAACGAUGACCAAACAGUUCACAUGUAUGCUAAUGUGUGUCAGGUGGAAUCAAUGUUCGCAUUUCUCUCCAUGUCUUCCGCUCUCCAACCUCCUGACCUGCCCUGGUUAAAAUGUACGUCCCUCUCUGGCGCGUCCCUCUCUGGCGCGUCCCUCUCUGGCGCUUCCCUCUCUAGCGCUUCCCUCUCUACCACAUCCCUUUUCACAUCCCUUUUCACAUCCCUCUCUAUCAAUUUGAUCUUAAGUACAUUCACCUGUAAUUCUACAUUCCAGGUCAUUUUGUUUGAGCUGUUCUAUACGCUCAGUGUGUGAAUGAAGUGAGUUUGACUGCAAUAACAGAGACGGACCUGGCUGGGUUUGUAACAUUAGGAGAAGCUCUUUCGUCUCGAAGUCAGUAAACCUCCAGUUUCAGUGUUAACAUAGGCAGAGAUAUCCUGUGAACACUUCCUGUUUGAGCUCAGGGGAGCCGAGCCGGUCUGAACCGGCUUCGUCGAGGGCUGAUCCUGGGCCGCAUCCCAAAUGGCACCCUAUCCUCUAUAUAGAGCACUACUUUUAACUAGUGCAUUAUGUAGGGAAUAGGGUGCAGUGUGGGACACAGACCUGCUCCUCAUUUUUUUUUUUUGCAGCUAUCCAGCCCUCCUCUUCCUCCUCCCUUCCCAGCAUCACACACCUAAGCAGCCUCUUUGUGUAGAAUGCAUAGUUCACUCACUUCACCCUCUAGAGCCUGUUAGGGUGGUAGAAAUUAUUAGGAGGGAGGGAGAAGAGGGAAGGAGGGAGAAGAGGGAAGGAGGGAGGGAGGGAAAGGAAGGAAAGGAGGGAGGGAAAGGAAGGAAAGGAGGGAGGGUGAGAAGGAAGGAGAGAGAAGGAUAGGAAGGAGAGAGAGAAGGAUAGAGAAGGAAGGAGAGAGAGAAUGAGGGAGAGAAGAAGGGAGAGAAGGAGGGAGAGUAGAGAAGGAGGGAGAGGAGGGAGAGAAGGAGGAGGGAGGGAGAGAAGGGAGGGAAGGAGGGAGAGUAGAGAAGGAGGGAGAGGAGGGAGAGAAGGAGGAGGGAGGGAAGAGGCACAGUCCAUAGAGCAACAGGAAACCAGGAUUACAGUUCCUCCAGGAUUACAGAAGCGUUUACUCCAAACUUAACAUGUUUUUUCCAGUUCCCCAGUCUAAUGAAUGGACACCUCCCCCUGCCAAACUUGGACGGGUCCCCCUCACCCCUGCUCCUGUCCCCUGCCAAUCACAA